AGUGUGCGCCCAGAUUCGAUCCGCAUGUCCUCAUUCUCCCCUUUAUUUCCUGCCCUCCUCCCCUCCCUUUCCCCCCCGCUUCCCGCUCCUCCCUAUAUGUUAUCGCUGUGCGGGCAUCGGCGGUUCCUGGGCGGUCAUUGCGUUAUACUGCAAUAUGGUGCUGCCGCAGCGCCGUCUCUCUGGGUAAACCUCUUCAAAGGCGAUCCAGAGAAGCCGAGCGGUUCACUUUCUUCGUUGUUACUUGGGCAACAGGCGAAUCACGACUGGGACUAUGCUUGGGGGGAACAUAGCUAGUGUUGACAACGUAGUUUCCUCCCAGAAGGCAUCUCUGCACUCCUGACACACGUGAACUGAUGGAGGAGAACAAUCUUACUGGGAACUAGAAGGAAAUUUCAGGAGCCAUGCAAUGAGCAGAAGAAGAUCGUGAGUUUUCACGUUGAAGUAGUCUAAUGUGUGCCUGUCGAGGUGACUGUCCAUUUUAUUUUCUUUUUUUAAGUCGUGUUGGGCUGAAAUGCUCAGAAAAUUUCUCAGAAAGGUCAGCUUCCACUAGGACUGAAAACAUGGUUUGUGCAGGAAUCACUGCCCUAUGUCUUGCAACAUCUGUCAAGAGGGUGCCCUGUAUAACUGGCAAUUGUGGACAGGCAGGUUUGUUUUAAAAUAGCAGGAAGCUCUGAAUGACUCAAACUGACCCUUGGAUCCAGCAUUUCUGCCAUGACUAACCAGAGAAAAACAUUGGUCUGGAAAUGAAGUGGAAGAGCUAUGCUGGACAAGGGGUUCAGUGCAGCCCCUUGAAAUGGCCAAAGUGGUGACAGCAGUGGAGUCCAGGAUCCCAGCUCCAAAGUAAGCACGUAUGCUGACACUGAGCACUUAGGCCUGCACAAGAAGUGGCCAAUGCCAUUGCUCCCGGUAUGUUUAGCCAAUUGUCCAACAACUGAUUCGUACAAGAGCCACAAGAUAAAAGGACAGAGCAACUCUCAGCAGGACAGACAUGUCUGGUAGUAAAAUUCGUCACUCCUCUGAAAGGCCACUCACUAUGUGCUGAUGGAAAAUUGCUCUUCAAACACAGAGCAAGUCUGAGCUGAAGUUUACUGUAGUUGUCUGUUCACAGGAAGGGGGGAAAUGAAAUAAGUACAGGCUUUUGGCACAGUGGGAGAGACGGUUGUCCCUGGGCUGGAAGUAACACGGAGGUAAACACUUGGGAUAAACUGAAGAUGGCCAGGUCAAAGUGUGUCAAGAAGAAACACCCUUACACCUGUCAGGAGUCCUGAGUUCAGGCAGAUGCCUGGAUUUCCCUGGCAGACCACGACUGUGACCUCUGCCCAAUGCACAGCCUCCUGCUCCAGUCACACCAACCCACACGCAGCCUAAAUGCACCUGUAUGUAAGGAGCCAACACACCCAUAUGUACCGACGGAACACACCCACACAACCAACUCCUCCACAGCAACCUGUUGCCUGAGCCCCUCAUGCCUUCGCUCUCCGGGAGGGACACGAGGGCACCUCCGAGCCCGUAGGCACACAGACCCCAGCGCACUGCCCCGUACACACACGUACACAGACACACACACACACACAUACACACUCACACACCCCCAGCCGAGACCCUCCCCAGCAAUCACCCUCGCCCUCCGCGCUGACAGCCUGGGAGAGAGCCGCACAAAAGGCGCGGGCGGGCGGGCGCGGAGCGGCCCAUCCUGCCCGGCCCCCCUCCGCCCCCCGUUCCCACCCCUCCGCCCCCCGUUCCCACCCCUCCGCCCUCUCCCGCCCCGCUCCGCCCUCUCGGCGGGAGUGGCGGCCCCACAGGCGGUCGCGCAGGGGGGCCGGGAUCGGCCCCGCCGCCGCCGCCGCCAGCCCGAGCGGAGCGCCGCGCCUUCCUGCCGCGCUCCGAGCGCCGCCGCUUGCCUAGCGGCAGGUGGGGGCGGUUGUAACGGGCGGCGGGGCGGUAGGGCGGGCGGGGUGAGGGCCCCGGCCCGCCCCGCCCCGCGCACACGCGGCCCUACCCGGGCGGGACGGCGGCUCACCCGGUGCGGGGAGGGCGGGGAUGUUGCCGCCGGGCGCUGCCGUCCCGUCUUCCCCGGUGUUCUCUGGCCGCCCUGGGCGCUGCUUGUGUGGAACUGUGCGGGCUUCCUCCUGGCCCGGGUGGCGUUGCCGGGCUGGAAGUUGGGAGAGUUUCUAACCAACCAACCCAAAUCUAAAUUUUUUUCAGAAUAAUGCAAGCAAAGUUUAUGUAGAUCGAUACAAUGCAUCACGUGCUUUCCCAUGCUCGGGUCUGAAUAUGAAGGGCCCAGUGUGACGAUCGUUAAUUAGAAGGAAUUUGCAGUUUUAGUGAUUGGUAAAUGUUUGUAAUCUGACCGUAAUUUGCCUGUAUGCUGACUCUGUAUUUUUCAGUUACUGCCUUUCAAAACUGACUUUCUCAUUCUAUGGGAUAAACUAUUUUUUCCUUGAGUGUUCUGGGCUAGGGAAAAAUUGAAUAGGACUGUAAAGAACUACCCUUGAAAUGUCAGUCUGUAUCAUGCUAUAUUUAAAGUAGAUAAAAGAGAAAUUGACUAGCUAAAUGGAUUUUUCUGAAAUGGUUAAAGUUCAUUCAUUGGUAAAUUAGAAAUCUGUUUACACUGGAAAAAGGUCACCCACCAGGCAAAAAGCUUGAAAUUACUUUUAAAAUUAUUUUUUUUUAAUAUAUAUAGGAUGUAGUCUGUGCUUUAUAUAUGAUAGCUAUAAGUAUUAUUUAGACCCCACACAAAACUUGGGGACAGCUUGGAGUAUGAAUUUAUGAACCUGGUAUGUUCAGUACUAAAAACAUUUCAUUCUAUGUGGAAAACUGACAUUAAGUCUAUGAAACUUUUUUUUUUUUUUUGAAUUACUGUUUCCACAGAAUCAUUCAACAGAUAACAUCAUGUUAGUAGUUAUUAAUUUAUUCAUCUACUUUCUGCUAUGCUAGGAAUACUGCCUUCAACUGUUAAAGAAGCAGCUGGCUUUUUUAUACAAAUAAACUAGGCUCAGAGACUGUCAAUCUUCUUUGUUUGACAGAGAGGAGUUCCCGCCUGCACUGAAAGAAUAGCUCAACAUCUGUCAUUCCAUUCUCUGUGAUGGCCCAAAAUCAGGAACACUACAGCUGUCCUGGUCCUUUCAGAUAUCUCUGGGAUAGAGAGUUAGGAGGACUGAGUAUUUGGUCAGCAUGUUCGUCAUGGAUUAAGCAACUCUCUACAAGCCCUUGCAUGUAAUUGUAUUGUUUUCUCACUGUUUGAAUAGUAGAAUUUGCAGUUUAAAAUGUCUUUGGAAUUCAGAUUCUACUAUUUUUUUUAAUGUUUAAUUAGUUUAAUCUGAACCUGCAUUUGUUAUUAAGACACAUUUGAAUUGAAACUAAAGUGGUUAGCAAUAAAUCGUGCCUAUGCAUGUGGUACGUGGACAUGUAAAUUGCAGGUGUAUACAUAAGCAUAAAGCAAAAAAAAAUAUAUUUUUACAGGUUGGGAAUUACACUACAACUGCUGAGUGCUGGAUGAAGAUGAAAACAAGUGAUGUAAAUUAACUUAUUCCUUGCAAGCUCAAAAAUGGCAUCUUUUGAAAUAUGUCCAUAUGGAGCACAGGAGAGAGGAAAUGGGAAGGGCAAGAGGAGAAGGGGAUGGAAGAGGCUGGGAAUAAUAUGUUACCAUGUAAAAUAAAUGUUUAACCAA